rnacentral:rRNA from 1 species
UACAGAGGUCUCAAGCGUUGUUCGGAUUGCAGUUGGGCGUAAAGGGUGCGUAGGCGGCGCGGUAAGUCGGGUGUGAAAUCUCGGGGCUUAACUCCGAAACUGCAUUCGAUACUGCCGUGCUUGAGGACUGGAGAGGAGACUGGAAUUUACGGUGUAGCGGUGAAAUGCGUAGAUAUCGUAAGGAAGACCAGUGGCGAAGGCGGGUCUCUGGACAGUUCCUGACGCUGGAGGCACGAAGGUCAGGGGAGCAAACGGG